GUAACACGUAGUCAACCUGCCCUGGAGACAUGGAAAACCCCGGGAAACUGGGAUUAAUCCGUGAUAGGUCACCUCAUCUGGAAGGAGAGAUGGCUUAAAGGGGUGCGAGAGCUUCUUUCUUGCAUUCGCUCCAGGAUGGGACUGCGGCCGAUCAGGCUGUUGGCGGUGUAAUGGACCACCAAACCUGUAACCGGUACGGGCCUUGAGAGAGGGGGCCCGGAGAUGGACACUGAGAGAAGGGUCCAGGUCCUACGGGGCGCAGCAGGCGCGAAACCUUCGCAAUGCGCGAAAGCGUGACGAGGUUAAUCCGAGUGGUCCCCGCUGAGGGGAUCUUUUGUUGGCUGUAAAAAGGCCGAUGAGUAAGGGGAGGGCAAGUCUGGUGUCAGCCGCCGCGGUAAUACCAGCUCCUCGAGUGGUCGGGGCGAUUAUUGGGCCUAAAGCAUCCGUAGCCGGUUCUGUAGGUCCUCUGUCAAAUCCAACGGCUUAACCGUUGGCCCGCAGAGGAUACCGCAGGACU
rnacentral:rRNA from 1 species